rnacentral:lncRNA from 1 species
AACUAGGACACUUACUCAUUUAAAUAAUAUAGAACAACAACAGUCACUGUGGAUGUUUUAGAAACACAGGAUGUUCUACAAAGUAAAAGCCCUCAAAACGUGCAGUCACAGUUUUAUUCCCAAUUAAUUGCAGACUUCAAAACUUCUAACUGGUGUACUACUAUAUUUCUCAUGAUGGCCGCUCCUAUCCACAUUGUCCCCUGUGCAGUAGCAACACAAAACAUCAUGAACCAAGGAGAAGAUUGGCCUUUUUGUCAGAAACUGCAGCCCCAUGGAUGGGGUUUAAGGUAACUCUGUGUCAAGGACCUAAUUACAGCCAUUCUUAGAGGUUGCACAGAAAAGUAGAGAAAGCCCUGGCUUUAGAAUUAUACAUCCUGCAUUCCAGUCCCAGUUCUAGAACUUACCACCUGUGGAACUCCUUUCUGCUUCAGUUUCCUCACCUGUAAAGUCAGGAUAAUAAAACCUACUUUGCACGGAGGUUGUAAAAGUUGCAUAAAAUCUUCCCUAAUGUCUAGAACAGUGCAUGGCACACAAUAGAUUGCAAGUUAUCUGAAAUAAUUUACACAUUUUGUGUAACGUUUUUGUUCAAUGUUCUAUCAUUAUUA